rnacentral:lncRNA from 1 species
UGUGCAGAAUUUCAAGAGGCCGGAGCCUGUGUCUGCCAGGGAGGGGUGGGGUGGGGGGAGACUUUCAAAAUUCAUCGUGCAUAUUGUGGGGGGGCCACGAUUGUGUGCUCAGGAUGAGACCUAGGGGCCAGCCCUGAGGGAGAGCUCAGUGGGCUUGGACAAAAUAUCCUCUUUACCCUCUCAUUACCGGCUAGUGGGGGCCAGGAGAGAAAGAGCCAAGCUUCUAGUGGAGACUCCAAAACAGUCACCAGGAAGAAGUAACAAACUUGGGGACCUUCAGAAGAGCUGUAGUAGAGGUUGAAUUGGCUUUUGGAAACAUCUUGAGGAAGGUGGACCUUGAGCUCCCCUAGAAACUUCUGGAGGCUUCAAAGACAUGGCAACUUAUCAAUUGGGACCUUUAGUUUAUGAUGAGCUUCUGGCUGCUUCUAUUCAUGUGGAAUCCCAGAGCUGAAAGGCCUUGGAAUAUGGGUUUGAUGUAGAAAACCCUGAGCAGUCUCUUGGCCCUUCCUUGGUCCUUGACAGUGGAAGGGGGGAAGCUGCAUCAGUUGAAAGGAGAGAUGGAUUCUGAUUGACUCUUCUUUUGUUUUGACUCUUCUGUGAGGUAAGUAGUGCAUUCUGUCUUUAGGUGCCCUAAAAAGGGGAUGAACUAUACUAUUAUCUCCCCUCCCUCUCCUCUUAUUUAAGGAUGGAGAAUAGACUCAACUAAGUGAAUUUGUGCCUGGAUUCCUGGCUGACUUUUCAACCUUGUUUCCUUUUCUGAGGAGGUGAUUUGAACAUUAGUUUCAAGCAUCCAUGCUUGGAGAUGACCACAUGAGAUAGAGAGGAUCCAGGGUCCUAUAUCUCAUCUGGUAGGGACUGACUUGUGGCAAAGGGAGGAGACCCCCAGAAACUACUCAAGCCUUCCUGGAGAAGAGAACCACCAUCUAGAAGAUUAGCCCAAUCCCUGAUCUUUUUACCAGGAUCCAUGUACUGGGAGUUGUUUGGACAAUGUAGAAUGGAGGUGAAAUAU